UGACCUGUCAUGGAACCUCAUCGCAGCCAUUGGUGACUCAUUCGCACAUAUGGCCGAACUCCAAACACUGAAUCUGAGUCACAAUCAGAUCCAAGGUAUCUCAGGUGGGGCGUUUGCUGAAGCAACCAGUCUGCGGACCAUUGACCUGUCUGCAAACCGGAUCACGCAGACUGGUUUUGCUUUCUCCAAUCUGCCUG